UGAAAGAUAGAAGGCUAGUACUUAUGAAG
rnacentral:piRNA from 1 species